rnacentral:rRNA from 1 species
GAAAGAAGCUGGCGGCGUGCCUAAUACAUGCAAGUCGAGCGGAGAAUUUGGAGCUUGCUCCAACUUCUUAGCGGCGGACGGGUGAGUAACACGUGGGCAACCUGCCCUGCAGAUCGGGAUAACUCCGGGAAACCGGUGCUAAUACCGAAUAGUUUGUUCCACCUCCUGGUGGAACACGGAAAGACGGUUUCGGCUGUCACUGCAGGAUGGGCCCGCGGCGCAUUAGCUAGUUGGUGGGGUAAUGGCCCACCAAGGCGACGAUGCGUAGCCGACCUGAGAGGGUGAUCGGCCACACUGGGACUGAGACACGGCCCAGACUCCUACGGGAGGCAGCAGUAGGGAAUCUUCCGCAAUGGACGAAAGUCUGACGGAGCAACGCCGCGUGAGUGACGAAGGUUUUCGGAUCGUAAAACUCUGUUGUGAGGGAAGAACAAGUACCAACUAACUACUGGUACCUUGACGGUACCUCACCAGAAAGCCCGGCUAACUACGUGCCAGCAGCCGCGGUAAUACNUAGGUGGCAAGCGUUGUCCGGAAUUAUUGGGGCGUAAAGCGCGCNCANGCGGNCCCUUAANUCUGAUGUNAAANCCCACGGCUCAACCGUGNANGGUCAUUGNAAACU